rnacentral:rRNA from 1 species
UACGGGGGGGGCAAGCGUUGUUCGGAAUUACUGGGCGUAAAGGGCUCGUAGGCGGCCAACUAAGUCGGAUGUGAAAUCCCCAGGCUUAACCUGGGAACUGCAUCCGAUACUGGAUGGCUUGAAUCCGGGAGAGGGAUGCGGAAUUCCAGGUGUAGCGGUGAAAUGCGUAGAUAUCGGAAGGAACGCCGGUGGCGAAAGCGCACAACUGGUCCUCUUCUGACGCUGAGGCGCGAAAGCCAGGGGAGCAAACGGG